GGGAUUAUAAGGUCUGAGACGGCGAAGAGGCUAGGGUUUUUUUUGUUACUUUGUUUUAAAAUGGCCGGAUAUAGGUUUUGGUUUUUUUUUUAGCUUUAUAAGGAUCGUGAAACGGUACCGUUUAAGGCCUGUUUCAAUGGCUCCAAAACAAUACCGUAUUGGCUAUACCCAAUGACCCGACCCCGACACAGCCAGAUCCGCGUGUUUUGGUCUUGGAUGGGAUAUUUGCACCACGAGUCCUUCUG
rnacentral:lncRNA from 1 species